rnacentral:rRNA from 1 species
AGGACGAACGCUGGCGGCGUGCCUAACACAUGCAAGUCGAACGGGGCCAGGGGCAACUCUGGUUCAGUGGCGGACGGGUGCGUAACACGUGAGGAACAUGACUUUCGGUGGGGGAUAGCCGGCCCAACGGCCGGGUAAUACCGCGUACGACCUUUUGGGGACAUCCCUGAUUGGUGAAAGCAGCAGUGCGCCGAAAGAGUGCCUCGCGGCCUAUCAGCUAGUUGGUGGGGUAAUGGCUCACCAAGGCGACGACGGGUA